GAAAGCGGGGGACCUUCGGGCCUCGUGCUAUCAGAUGAGCCUGCGUUGGAUUAGCUAGUUGGUGGGGUAAUGGCCUACCAAGGCGACGAUCCAUAGCUGGUCUGAGAGGAUGAUCAGCCACACCGGGACUGAGACACGGCCCGGACUCCUACGGGAGGCAGCAGUGGGGAAUAUUGCGCAAUGGGCGAAAGCCUGACGCAGCCAUGCCGCGUGUGUGAAGAAGGCCUUCGGGUUGUAAAGCACUUUCAAUUGGGAGGAAAGGUCAACGAUUAAUACUCGUUGGCUGUGACGUUACCUUUAGAAGAAGCACCGGCUAACUCCGUGCCAGCGGCCGCGGUAAUACGGAGGGUGCAAGCGUUAAUCGGAAUUACUGGGCGUAAAGCGCGCGUAGGCGGCUUGUUAAGUCGGAUGUGAAAGCCCUGGGCUCAACCUGGGAACUGCAUCCGAUACUGGCAAGCUAGAGUGCGAGAGAGGGAGGUGGAAUUCCAUGUGUAGCGGUGAAAUGCGUAGAUAUAUGGAGNGAACANCCAGUGGCGAAGGCGGCCUCCUGGCUCGACACUGACGCUGAGGUGCGAAAGCGUGGGUAGCAAACAGGAUUAAAUACCCUGGUAGUCCACGCCGUAAACGAUGUCUACUAGCUGUUGGGGUACUUGAGACCUUGGUAGCGCAGCUAACGCACUAAGUAGACCGCCUGGGGAGUACGGCCGCANNAGGUUAAAACUCAAAUGAAUUGACGGGGGCCCGCACAAGCGGUGGAGCAUGUGGUUUAAUUCGAUGCAACGCGAAGAACCUUACCAAGCCUUGACAUCCUCGGAACUUUCCAGAAAUGGAUUGGUGCCUUCGGGAGCCGAGAGACAGGUGCUGCAUGGCUGUCGUCAGCUCGUGUCGUGAGAUGUUGGGUUAAGUCCCGUAACGAGCGCAACCCUUGUCCUUAGUUGCCAGCACUUCGGGUGGGAACUCUAAGGAGACUGCCGGUGACAAACCGGAGGAAGGUGGGGACGACGUCAAGUCAUCAUGGCCCUUACGGCUUGGGCUACACACGUGCUACAAUGGCAAGUACAGACGGCUGCGAACCUGCGAAGGGGAGCCAAUCCGACAAAACUUGUCGUAGUCCGGAUCGGAGUCUGCAACUCGACUCCGUGAAGUCGGAAUCGCUAGUAAUCGCGAAUCAGAAUGUCGCGGUGAAUAC
rnacentral:rRNA from 1 species